UUGAAAUGAGCUGUGAAGGAGGGGGGUUGUUCUUACGCAUGCGCUCAUUUCAAAAACUGGAUUCUCAGUCGACGAAAAAAUCCUCUCUAUCACCUUUAAGCACAAUGCUCGUUCACGUUCAUGGUCAUUUGCAUUUAGAAAGGCCUCCAAUGAACCAUAUAUGGUGACAACACCACCCUUUAUAAAUCACGUGAAUGUUUGUGUCCUCACUGAAAUCAUGGCAAAGAGGGCGAAAAAGAGAAACUUCUCAGAAACAGAAAUUGAAGUACUGGUCAGCCAAGUGGAAGAAAAGUGUUAUUUGGGUCACUCACUUCAGGUAUAACUAACAAAAGAAAAAAUUGUACAUGGGAGAAAAUAACGGCAGCUGUUAAUUCUGUUGGGUCAGAGGAAAGAACACCGCCAGAAAUGGUUUGACAUUAAAAUCGCUGUUACUCACUGUAAAUUACUAAUUGAGUAUUUGCAAUUAAAGGACACAGGAAACACGCAGCAGCAUUUUCUUUUUGUAGUAACACCAAUCUACCACUAGAUUCUCUGAGUAAGCAUGCUUGGCUGUGCUUAUAUUUACACACAUUCCUAUGUAUAUGUACAAGUUGGUUCUUUGUGUGGAACUGUUCUAGCACACACUUCUGUUUGUGCGCACUAUUGAUAAAUGGGCCCUGGAGUAUUUUCUGUCCUUUUUACAGAUAGAAAGAGUGAAAGCCAAUUUGGAGAAGUGCUGCUUCUUCCAAAGUGAGUGUCCCAUCUUCAUUGGAAUUGGGGUUUGUAUAUGAGUGAAACAGCUUCCCGAACAACAAAAAACAUAGGGCAUGACUUGAUUUUGUCCAUCGGGAAUUCAAUGUUGUUCAUUGUCGUUUGCUCUUGCUGUGAUCUCACGUGAAUGACAGUUUGUCUCGCUCUAUACCAUUAAACACGUCAUCAGAGAAGAGAUGUUGUUGCAAGAGGAAGGGGAAGUUAUUUUGAUUAAAGAUUAUACAAGCUCAUGAAUUUAAUUGCAUGGAUAAACAAUUUAUAAUCAAAUCUGUAAUAUUCCAUAAAAAAUAAGAAUUGUCAAUUUUGAUUUCAUAGUGACUUUAAUGCUAGAAAAACCUAUGCAUCUUCUGGCUUUACAACCAAACCAAAUCCCAGCAACAGACUUUAUGUUUGACCAUUCCCAGAAUGGCAGUCUCUAGUGGGGACAAAGUGUGCUGGAGUGUUAGUCUGUGAGUGUACAUGUAAGUUUGAAGUAUCUGUACAAAUUCACUACAGUCAGUGCAAGAAUUCCGGAAGUGCUUUAAACUAGCAGUUAUGUGAUCACAACUGGGUCCAGAAGAGACAGUAUGAGUGGUUUAAUAGAACUGCCAGGAUGUCUGGCCUGGAUGUACAUGAACACUUGAGCUUGUUAAUGCUGAAUAUUAAUCUGAACAAAUCACUAUAUAAUGGUUGGAUUUCCUCCAUCUACUAAAGGGCAAUCACAACAAAUUGUUGUCAGAAGUCAAAUCAGAAACAAUUUCUGUUGUAAAAACAUACAAGGUCUCGUAAUUUUAGUGAUUAUACUUCUCGUGGACUCUGAUAUACAUAUUUGCACUGAGAAAGUGCUUGCCCACUACUGGUGGAAUUGGUUUUAAGCCCUAAACCUGACCACUUGGAAUCUGCUAUGGAGCAUGUUUAUUAUUUACAAAUUUUCCUUAUGAAUUUGUUGUAUGCACCAUUCUACAGGAAUGCUUGGUCUGUUGGGGAAUGUUAAUACAAUGAUAAAAUGAUAAUGAUAUGAUACUACAAUUAACUGUGGCUGUGUAAAUCAAAAAUCACAGGUGGUAUUCUUUAUUAAAAUUGGUGUCUUUUAAAUUUGUUGAAAUUAUGUUAUAUAUAAAAUGAAACAAAUCUUUCUUUUUUUGUCCAAGCUUUAAUAAUCAACGUUUGGUUGGUUGCACUUUUUGCAUUUGAUUUCUUGACAUGAAAUUGGGGGGGAAAAUAAGAGCAUGAAAAAUAAAUGUGCCAUAAAUGUAAAUAGCCAUGUGUUGUCACUUUUUAUUGGACAUUUGAAUAUGUGAACCAAAAUAAAGAUACUUUUCCAUUCUUCAGCCACACUAAAAUCAACACUUUUGUGUUAUACUGAAACCAAUGCUCUAGAAUCUGCACUCAAACAUGUUGGUCAAUCAGUAACAAACUACACAGUGUCAUUUAACUUAUUUCAGGAGUGAGGCUUACUUACUGAAAAGACUGCAUCAAAAUGGUGAGAGCACAUGAUGCUGCAUUCAAACAAGAUGGAUCCAAGGUAGAAAUAACAUGUGAUCAAAGACGGCACAGCCUACACUAUAAAACUGUUACAAGAGAUACAAAACCAGUGUCCACCCUUGUUCAAACUGACACCACUGUAAAAUUUUGCAGCAGUACGCAUAGGGGUUAACAUCCUAGCUCAUUCUGAAGUCUUGCAUUGUUUCACACCUGUACUGCAGGUAUGCAAAACACAAUCAUCCUUUUACACACUCAAACUAUAUUUACAUAUACAUGUUUGCCUCUGCCAAAGUCUAUCCCACCUUUCUCUCUCUCUCUCUCUCUC